CGACGCACGUAUUUUGAUUUUUACCAGUCGUUCAAGGCGGACGGAUUCAGUCCCAAGAAGCUAAAGUUUUUCAAAGACCAGGACUUGUAGGGAGGACUUUGCAGCUAAUGGAGCUGAAGUAUUUUAUGUAAGGAGGAUUUUGCAGCCCAUAUAGGCAAGUCAUUAUAAUGAAAACUCUUAGGGGUGGUUUCCCGGACAGGGAUUAGCUUUAUCCAGGACUAGACCUUAGUUUAAUUAGGAUAGUUUUAACAAACAUGCCUUACUAAAAACAUUACUUAUGUGCAUAACGAUGUAAAACAAUGGGCACUGAUGUAUUUUAAGAUAUGUCAGAGCAAGUUGUUUUCAGUUUGGACAGCUCUUACAUUUAUUUUAGUCUAGGACUAGUCUAAUUCCUGUCUGGGAAACCGCCCCUUAAUAUAUAUGAUGACAUUUAAGUCAAGCUCUAGUUUAGGUAAAAAUAUAUCUGCUAUACAAUCUCUGCCAGUAAACUAUAGAUUUAAUACAGUAAGUCUUAAAUAAAUGUAAUGUUUUAAUAUUAAACACUUUUUAAUUGAGCUUAUUGUCUCUCUUUUUCAGAUUUCCUUAGGCUGAACCAAAACCUGCCAGACUAAAGUUGAUUUGGGAGAGAAAGACGUUGUAAACUCAAUCAUCUUGACAUUCUUCAAUGAGUAAUUGUUCAAUUUUUAGGCAAAUACUGUACACUUUGAAUGCUGUGAAUAAAACUAUAUUUUAAAUAUAUUUAAAAUGAAUUGUUUUUGACUGUUUUAAUCAGCUUUUAUUUAUUUGGAAAAAAUUAUUUUGGUUAUGUUACCAGCUAAAGUAAUCUAUUCCCAAAAUAGCACUCUUUAAGUUAACUAAUUAUUAACGCACUUGAAGUAUACUCAUUACUAAUCUAGCUGCAGGUAUGUAAAAGUAUACAAAAUGUAAUGUACUUGGCAUAUUCAUUUUUCACCAGGGCAGUUUUUAGAAUUUUGGAUUGGCCAAAAAUAUAUAGAAUGUACGCAAACAGUCUAUUUAAGAUAUACUGAUUGUAUGUUUGCAAGACACUCAUAAUACAUUUGUAAUGUACUCCUAACAUAAAUAAAACACACUCUAAAUCCACUUAUCAAGCAUGAAUUUAGCACAAAAACAGUCAUGUACUUAAAUUGUACUAAAUACACUUAAAGUUGUUCCACUUUAGCACACAAAAGUACACUAAAUACACUUAAAGUUGUACUUUGUUACAAUUAAUAUACAACUAAAAUAUAUUAAGUACAAAAUUAGUUGUUCCAAAAUAGCACUCUUUAAAUAAACUAAUCAAUAGCACACUUUAAGUAUACUGGUCAUUAGUGUGACUGCAAGUAUACUUAAGUAUAUCAAAAUUAAAUAUAUUUAGCAUACUAUUUUUUC